CCUACGGGGUGCAGCAGUGGGGAAUAUUGCACAAUGGGCGCAAGCCUGAUGCAGCGACGCCGCGUGAGGGAUGACGGCCUUCGGGUUGUAAACCUCUUUCAGUAGGGAAGAAGCGAAAGUGACGGUACCUGCAGAAGAAGCGCCGGCUAACUACGUGCCAGCAGCCGCGGUAAUACGUAGGGCGCAAGCGUUAUCCGGAAUUAUUGGGCGUAAAGAGCUCGUAGGCGGUUUGUCGCGUCUGCCGUGAGAGUCCGGGGCUCAACUCCGGAUCUGCGGUGGGUACGGGCAGACUAGAGUGAUGUAGGGGAGACUGGAAUUCCUGGUGUAGCGGUGAAAUGCGCAGAUAUCAGGAGGAACACCGAUGGGGAAGGCAGGUCUCUGGGCAUUAACUGACGCUGAGGAGCGAAAGCAUGGGGAGCGAACAGGAUUAGAUACCCGCGUAGUC
rnacentral:rRNA from 1 species